GCUAUCUACAGGCUUAACACAUGCAAGUCGAGGGGCAGCAUGGUCUUAGCUUGCUAAGACUGAUGGCGACCGGCGCACGGGUGAGUAACACGUAUCCAACCUGCCGUCUACUCUUGGACAGCCUUCUGAAAGGAAGAUUAAUACAAGAUGGCAUCAUGAGUCCGCAUGUUCACAUGAUUAAAGGUAUUCCGGUAGACGAUGGGGAUGCGUUCCAUUAGAUAGUAGGCGGGGUAACGGCCCACCUAGUCUUCGAUGGAUAGGGGUUCUGAGAGGAAGGUCCCCCACAUUGGAACUGAGACACGGUCCAAACUCCUACGGGAGGCAGCAGUGAGGAAUAUUGGUCAAUGGGCGAGAGCCUGAACCAGCCAAGUAGCGUGAAGGAUGACUGCCCUAUGGGUUGUAAACUUCUUUUAUAAAGGAAUAAAGUCGGGUAUGCAUACCCGUUUGCAUGUACUUUAUGAAUAAGGAUCGGCUAACUCCGUGCCAGCAGCCGCGGUAAUACGGAGGAUCCGAGCGUUAUCCGGAUUUAUUGGGUUUAAAGGGAGCGUAGAUGGAUGUUUAAGUCAGUUGUGAAAGUUUGCGGCUCAACCGUAAAAUUGCAGUUGAUACUGGAUAUCUUGAGUGCAGUUGAGGCAGGCGGAAUUCGUGGUGUAGCGGUGAAAUGCUUAGAUAUCACGAAGAACUCCGAUUGCGAAGGCAGCCUGCUAAGCUGCAACUGACAUUGAGGCUCGAAAGUGUGGGUAUCAAACAGGAUUAGAUACCCUGGUAGUCCACACGGUAAACGAUGAAUACUCGCUGUUUGCGAUAUACGGCAAGCGGCCAAGCGAAAGCGUUAAGUAUUCCACCUGGGGAGUACGCCGGCAACGGUGAAACUCAAAGGAAUUGACGGGGGCCCGCACAAGCGGAGGAACAUGUGGUUUAAUUCGAUGAUACGCGAGGAACCUUACCCGGGCUUAAAUUGCAGAUGAAUUACGGUGAAAGCCGUAAGCCGCAAGGCAUCUGUGAAGGUGCUGCAUGGUUGUCGUCAGCUCGUGCCGUGAGGUGUCGGCUUAAGUGCCAUAACGAGCGCAACCCUUGUUGUCAGUUACUAACAGGUUCUGCUGAGGACUCUGACAAGACUGCCAUCGUAAGAUGUGAGGAAGGUGGGGAUGACGUCAAAUCAGCACGGCCCUUACGUCCGGGGCUACACACGUGUUACAAUGGGGGGUACAGAGGGCCGCUACCACGCGAGUGGAUGCCAAUCCCCAAAACCUCUCUCAGUUCGGACUGGAGUCUGCAACCCGACUCCACGAAGCUGGAUUCGCUAGUAAUCGCGCAUCAGCCACGGCGCGGUGAAUACGUUCCCGGGCCUUGUACACACCGCCCGUCAAGCCAUGGGAGCCGGGGGUACCUGAAGUGCGUAACCGCGAGGAGCGCCCUAGGGUAAAACUGGUGACUGGGGCUAAG
rnacentral:rRNA from 1 species